UACGUAGGUGUCAAGCGUUGUCUGGAUUUAUUGGGCGUAAAGCGCCCGCAGGCGGCUUGCCAAGUUCGAUGUGAAAUCUCCCGGCUUAACUGGGAGGGUGCAUCGAAAACUGGCAGGCUUGAGGCAGGGAGAGGGAUGUGGAAUUCCAGGUGUAGCGGUGAAAUGCGUAGAUAUCUGGAGGAACACCGGUGGCGAAGGCGGCAUCCUGGACCGGUAUUGACGCUGAGGCGCGAAAGCCAGGGGAGCAAACGGG
rnacentral:rRNA from 1 species